CUAUGACCAUGAUUACGCCAAGCUUGGUACCGAGCUCGGAUCCACUAGUAACGGCCGCCAGUGUGCUGGAAUUCGCCCUUCAGGCCUAACACAUGCAAGUCGAGCGGACGAAGAUUGAAGCUUGCUUCAGUCCAAGUUAGCGGCGGACGGGUGAGUAACACGUAGGAAUCUGCCUUCAGGCGGGGGACAACGGAACGAAAGUUGCGCUAAUACCCCAUAUGCGAGUAAUCGUAAAAGGAGCAAUCCACCGGAAGAUGAGCCUGCGUCCGAUUAGCUAGUUGGUAGGGUAAGAGCCUACCAAGGCUACGAUCGGUAGUUGGUCUGAGAGGAUGAUCAGCCACAAUGGAACUGAGACACGGUCCAUACUCCUACGGGAGGCAGCAGUGGGGAAUUUUACGCAAUGGGCGAAAGCCUGACGUAGCGACACCGCGUGAGCGAAGAAGCCUUUUGGGGUGUAAAGCUCUGUCAGCUGGAACGAACACAAUG
rnacentral:rRNA from 1 species